UACGUAGGGGGCGAGCGUUGUCCGGAUUUAUUGGGCGUAAAGAGCUCGUAGGCGGUUUGGCAAGUCGGGUGUGAAAACUCCGGGCUCAACUCGGAGACGCCACUCGAUACUGCCAUGACUCGAGUCCGGUAGGGGAGUGCGGAAUUCCUGGUGUAGCGGUGAAAUGCGCAGAUAUCAGGAGGAACACCGGUGGCGAAGGCGGCACUCUGGGCCGGUACUGACGCUGAGGAGCGAAAGCUAGGGGAGCAAACGGG
rnacentral:rRNA from 1 species